GUACUUGCUUCCGCAGCACAAACAGAUUAGCAUGUCCCCUAUGCAAGGAUGACACACAAAUCUGUGGAAUGUUCCAUAUUUUG
rnacentral:snRNA from 1 species